CACGUAGGGGACGAGCGUUGUCCGGAUUCAUUGGGCGUAAAGCGCGCGUAGGCGGCUCGGAAAGUCGGUCGUGAAAUGCCGGGGCUCAACCCCGGGACUGCGUCCGAUACUCCCGAGCUGGAGGCAGGUAGGGGAGAUCGGAAUUCCUGGUGUAGCGGUGAAAUGCGCAGAUAUCAGGAGGAACACCAGUGGCGAGGCGGAUCUCUGGGCCUUGCCUGACGCUGGAGGCGCGAAAGCUAGGGGAGCGAACAGG
rnacentral:rRNA from 1 species